rnacentral:lncRNA from 1 species
GGUGCCACAUGAAGCUAUGUUAUUUUUAAAUUAAAAAAAUAAUUCCAAAUUAUAAAAUCACAUCUUUGGUAUUUACCAUGUAGAUGUUUUAACGACACGUGCCACACUCUAUUGAUCUUCAUCUGUGUGUGAUUUAACGAAAUUCAUGUUCAUUCAACCAAAACCCGUUAAUUAGGCACGUGUAUACAGAUUAUAAAUGAAUAUAUUAUCUCCUCAUGUUAUCGUGGUAAAAGUCAUAGUGUUUUGUUUUAUGGGAAC